rnacentral:tRNA from 1 species
GGGGGUAUAACUUAAUGGUAGAGUGUGUGCUUUGCAAGCACGAAGUUGGGAGUUCGAGUCUCUCUAUCUCCA